rnacentral:rRNA from 1 species
AUUGUUCCCUGCUCAAUGAUUUUUUAAAUUGCUGUGGUAUUUUGACUAUACAAAGGUAUUGAAAUAAGAUUUUAAUUGAAUGCUAAGAGAAUGGAAGUCCAGAAAAAAACUUUUUUUAAAUUAAAAAUUGAAGUUUUUUUAAUUUGUGCAGAAACAAUUAUUUAUAUUAAAGACAAGAAGACCCUAUGAAUUUAUUAAAUUUUUAUUUAAUAUGUAAUUACUAUUAGAAAAAUUUUGGCUGGGGCGGCUAGAAAAUAUUAUGAACUUUUUAAAAAUAAAAUGAUCCAUUAUUAAUGAUUUUAUGUUAAAUACUCUAGGGAUAACAGCGUAAAGCAUU